GAUUCCCGAGGAGUGUUGGCCCGGCAGCUGCAAAGCAGAGGUGCUUUUCUGGUGCCCGACUGAAGACCUUUCAAAGCUGCUGACUUGGAGAGCUAUCAGCUCUGCGCUCAUCCUCCCUAAGUGCUGUCAAGUCGGGCUCACAGAAUUGCCGUUGCUCGUGGAGACGCGGGCUGUUGUUGUGCCGGUGACUCAGGCAACACCAGGCAUCACGGAGAGCGUGAGGAGGUUGGGUUACUCAAAGCAGGGUUACUCAACGCGCCGUUGAUCCCUGUGAGAAGUGCUCUUCCUCCUCGCUCACUCUUUCUUGCCACUUUUGUCAAAGCAAACUCGAGGGCUCCGUUCAGGUUCCAGCGUGCAGCAUCUUGAAAAGAAAGAUUUGUCCCAGGGGCAGGAGGAAGCCAUCCAAAGCCGCCUCCUCUUCCUCCUCUGAUCUUUCUCCACCCGCCCGCGGGCUCAGGACACCGCCACGUCCUGCACGCAUCGCCUGAGCCCUGGAAAGUCUCUCCAUAGGCUGCUGCUGCUGCUGGGGCCUCCAUGCUGCUGUGCACAGAGGGCGGUGAGAGCACGGCGUCCCGGGCUGCAGUUUCACAAUGGUUUUCCAUGCAGCCGAAUCAGCAGCGCCGGCAGCCACGGGGCACUCACCUACCAGCACCAGCACUGGGCCACUGCAGGCGGAGAUGGGGAUCUAGAUGAACUGAGAACCCUGCAAGAAAUGGAACUGAAAUCCUGAUCUCAGCGUGGUUCUAAACCCAACGUUUCCAGCAGGAAAAGCUACAAGUGACUGUGUCAUGCCCCAGCCCCAGUGAGCAACCAAAGGGCUGGAGCCAGGAGGAGACACGGGGAGGGGAAGAGA
rnacentral:lncRNA from 1 species